GACGAACGCUGGCGGCGUGCUUAACACAUGCAAGUCGAACGGAAAGGCCCUGCUUUUGUGGGGUGCUCGAGUGGCGAACGGGUGAGUAACACGUGAGUAACCUGCCCUUGACUUUGGGAUAACUUCAGGAAACUGGGGCUAAUACCGGAUAGGAGCUCCUGCUGCAUGGUGGGGGUUGGAAAGUUUCGGCGGUUGGGGAUGGGCUCGCGGCUUAUCAGCUUGUUGGUGGGGUAGUGGCUUACCAAGGCUUUGACGGGUAGCCGGCCUGAGAGGGGGACCGGCCACAUUGGGACUGAGAUACGGCCCAGACUCCUACGGGAGGCAGCAGUGGGGAAUAUUGCACAAUGGGCGGAAGCCUGAUGCAGCAACGCCGCGUGCGGGAUGACGGCCUUCGGGUUGUAAACCGCUUUCGCCUGUGACGAAGCGUGAGUGACGGUAAUGGGUAAAGAAGCACCGGCUAACUACGUG
rnacentral:rRNA from 1 species